rnacentral:piRNA from 1 species
GAGGAGAUAAUCUCCAGGAUGCCUGUGAAG